UACGGGGGGAGCAAGCGUUGUUCGGAUUUACUGGGCGUAAAGGGCGCGUAGGCGGUCAGCACAAGUCAGUUGUGAAAUCUCCGGGCUUAACUCGGAAAGGUCAACUGAUACUGUGCGACUAGAGUGCGGAAGGGGCAACUGGAAUUCUCGGUGUAGCGGUGAAAUUCGUAGAUAUCGGGAGGAACACCAGUGGCGAAGGCGGCGACCUGGGCAGAUACUGACACUGAGGUGCGAAAGCGUGGGGAGCAAACAGG
rnacentral:rRNA from 1 species